CACCCUAGGGUAUGUCCCAAGACUGCAGAGCGCAUUGGAUUUAUCAGUUACAAAAUCAAAUAAUUAUAUGUGUCAUAUAUAAGAAUUAGGUUCAGAAUUUUCUAACUUUUUAGUUUGUAUUUGAAUAUUCCAAAUAUAUCAACAUGACGAUUUGUUAACCCACAUCACAAGGUGAAUAUAGGUGAUAAAUUGAAGUUCCUUCCCUUUCUUGAACUUGAAUUUGAGGUGCUGAAUGAAAUAGAUGAACACCAGAAAUUAAUGAUGGUGGAGUCUAUGCCAAUUUAAAAGGCAUCUUUUAGCCUUAGCCCACAUAACUAUGUUGUCAGAUAGCAAAUUCAUAACUAAAAGGGAAAAUUCUACAAAUCAUAUUCUCAUAGAUUGUUUUCAGAUUUUCCUUUCAACUUGUUGGUAGUGUCUGAAUAUGUAGUUGAGAUAUGGAUAGGAGUAGCAAAGAAUAUGGAAAAAUGUAAAUUCUCUGGUCUAGAAUUUUCUAAUUUGAUGUUCUUAUCAGAGCUACAAGAUUUGAGCUACCUUUCAAUACCUGACCUGGUUAUUGACAAAGCAAACUUGAAUUGGAUUAAGAUCUAAUCUGUAAGAGAUUUUAAUAGAAAGAGGAAUAUCUUCAGGUGACCUGAACUGGAGAAGCAAAUCUGCUAAGAAGCUGAUCCUUUCCCUUUUUUACUUCUUCCCUAUGUUCCUCUCUUCUGUGUUCGGUUCUGUUCUGCUUGCUUGUUGAAAACUGCUUCCACCACGCUUUUGUCAAUGUGUUCAUCAAUUUCUCUCUCUCUUUUCCCCAUAUUAUUGAGUGUCAUAGCAGUUAGUGAUUCAAUGAGAAGACUCUGCCUUUUCAGAAUCAGAGGGGGGAAUGACAGAAAAAUUGAUAAUAUAAUUGUUAAUAACAGAAAAUUGUUAAUACCAAAUGUUACUUGCCACUCCCUUGAUGAUUUUAGCAAUGCCAGGAUUUCAGAAAUGUUCUUAUAUUCCAUAUAUGUCCUUACAUAUACAAAUAUCCUUAAGAUAUGUAUUCUUGAUUAGGUUGAGCUGAACCCCCCUCCCCUAAGAGAUUUUACCUUGUAAAGGAACCUAGCUUAAGCUGGAUCUCAGUUUCUUCUUCCUUGCCCUCUUCCAUUGGAAUUCAUGGCUUGAAGGAUAAAACAGCCAGAAUGAAGUGGUUUUCCUUGCCUGGAUUGCCAAAAGCCACUGGGGUCUCCUGACUGGGGCUUGCUACCUUAUACUUCCUCCUCUCCCCUCUCCUCUUAAAGGUAUAAGAAGCUUUUGCAUGGGUCUUGUAGUUGGGAAAUCCAUUGGGCUUUGUACUUAUGUGACAUCUCCCAGAGUGUCAGGUUUACUACCCUGUUAUCUCAAUUAAACAUGCUUUAUCCCUCAACUCAUAGCUUUGAUUUAUUUCAGGAUGACAAAUUCAUACUUAAUAAGCUAUUUUUGGUGUUUUUAUCUUGGAGCUUUUUUUCUUUUCAGCUUGAUUGUGAGAUCUGGAUAAUAAAUAUCUUCCAAGCGCUUUUCAUUCUGGAGGAUAUUGCUGGCCAGCAAAAAGAAGAAUAUAAUGCCAUAUAUACUAAAGAUGGUGAGAAUAUACCAAGUGGCACUUGUCCCAUCAGGAAAUUUCAAGCUUCUGGUGGAGUUUCAGUGAAGGGAAGCUGUCCUUAAUAUAAGGGUGCCAGACUUUAUAACCAGGAUGUUUCCCGAAAUUCCUCAUGCCAACACCUGUCUACAGGUGUGGCAAAGACAGGACAGGAAACUCCAAAGAGUCAGACAUAAUGCCACUGGUGUCUUCACAAGGAAGGAAACCAGGACAGCACAUCUGAACAAAGCCUGAGGAGGAAGGGAAGAAGGAAGGAAUUAAAGAAAGGAGGAAGGAAGGAGGUGGUGGUUAUGGUAUUCAGGGAGGACUAGCCUCUCUGGUGUGAGGGAUUUUUGAGUCCUUUUCAGGGCUGCUCAUCGACCUUUGGGAUCUAACUGGUCACCCAACUCUCACCUGUGGUUCCAAGAAGCUAUAGCAUGUGCAGCAGCCACAACCCCAGGUAAACCGUCUCAGUAGAGGGGCUAAAUCAGAUUGAGGGUAACUGACAUUCCUCAAACUCAUCAGUGCACAAGCAUGUGAAGACUUCUGCAGCAGAAUGGUCGG